AUGACCAUUAUGUGGUAACUUUUGUGCUCUGAGUUAUAUCAGGCACAAAAUAUAACAUGCUCUUUUUUAGGAAGGCAAUUGAAUUUAUGUAUGAGAGAAUUUAUUUCAUUUAAUAAUUACAAAAUACAGGACAAAAUCCAAAAUUGUAGAAUAAUUGAAAAUGACAGCAGAAAGAAUACUUUGUGCAGUUUGUAAAGAAAGUGAAUAUUUUUGGAAGAGCUAUAUUUGAGAUGGGACUUAAGGAGGGGAGGGAUUUCUGGAUGAAGAGGAGGCAGAGGAAUUUACAGAUGAGGUGGGAAACAAAGGUGAAACUCAUCAAACUGGAGUGAAAGGCACACAUUGGCAAGUCAUGGAAAGUGAUACAGUUGGGAAAAAUGAUACAGGUGGGAUCAGAUUACUAAGGACUACGGGUUUUACUAUACUAGAUACUAGAAGUUAUUUUAGGUUCUGUAAAUGCACAAUUAAUAAGAUUUUUAAGAAGUUAGCUUGGCAAAUAGUAUAAGGAAAACAGAGAGGAGAGAGUCUGGUGGCAAUAAGAUGAGGUAGAGGUUGUAUGUAUGAAUUGUUGCAAGUCUUCAUUAGAGCGGAACUGCAGAGAUAAGUGUAAUGAAACAUUGAGAAUUUGUAAUACCACUUACAUUUUAUAGUUAUGAAGUUGGGUCAGAGAGAAAGGAUUAUAUCAUUAACUAAAAUGGGUAACUUCACAUGGAGAGUUUGAUGAAAGGCGUUUGUAAAGAAAUUACAACUCAUCUAGCCAGUUAAUAUCAACAUAUUUAGAAGACUGCUUCUCACCCUCUGUUUCUCUGGAGUGCUAAAGAUAUCUGAUUGAACACUUUUUAAAAACAUAUUUAAUGGGAACGACUGUAUAGACAGCGGCUGGGAAGUUAUACUAGGUUUUCUGCGUGAAGAGGAACAUCUACAGAAAGAUAAAGCUGGGGAACUGCCCUACCUAUCCAGAAAAAUCAUAUCCAGUCUCAAGCAAACGGUUGCUGAAAGUAUAGUCAUCAUAUCAUUUAACUCUAGUUGUGCAGAUAAUAAUGUUAGGUUGUAUAUCUCUUUAGCUGGCAUAGACAUGGCCAAUUUUUCCAUUGGUAGGGGUUUGCAAAUAAAUUAUAUCUUUGUUUUGUCUUGUUUCAUCUCCAUGGAUUUGUGAUUGCGAUGAUACCUAUACAAUUAAAUGCAACCAAGUGCUUUGUGUACAUAUAGUUGAUUCCUUUUGUUUAAAAAUGUUAAGACUCUGAGAUCCUUGUGAUAAGCCAGACCCAGAGGUUAAUUAGGUCGAAAGUAAUUUGAUCACAUUACUGCAGUUGAAGUUGGUGGCAAGCAUGUGGCCACAAUUCUGUUUAAGAUUUAAAAUAUUUGUAUUGCAACCAAGAAGCCUAAACCCUGGUCAUGUCGUGCUACGUGUACUGGAAGAAGAAAGAGGAAGAGUGAAGGUGAUGUCGGGUUAUGGGGAGGGUGAAGAAAGAGGGAGGAAAAGGCAUCUCCCACCCAGCCUCUAUGGUGUCUUGUAAACUGCAAGGAUAGGGAGCUUUUUUUGUUUUAGAGGUACAAAUUUUUAACUUACAACAUUGUGUUUCUUUUUAUUUGGACAGUUUGUCUAAAUUUGGUUUAUUCAGUAUAGCCCCAGACUAUUUUGUCUCUUUGAACUAGAUGAAAUAAUUAUAGCUUCCCCCUGCCCCGAACAAUAACAAAUCGAGCAAACCUGAAAGACUUGUAUUUUUCUAUUUAUUUCUUUUGUGUAUUUCUAAAAAGUAUGAAACCAACUGCUGCUUUCUUCUAGUGGUAUCACAUAUUCAUAAGAUUCAUAUCAAAAGAGUUACCGAAGUUUGACUUGUCUUCUACUUCACAUUCAAGUUUGAUGAGAAAUAUUGCUGAAGACCAUUAAUCAGGGAUACUGCUCUGUGAUGAUAAUAAUACAUAGCUUGAGAGCACAGCAGUUAUCUCUCCACCUGAGGACUGACCCGAGGCUCCACUUUGAGAUUGCGACGUGGUGCUCACCGUGGCAUGGACAGUCAGCAGGCCAGACAAAGCCCCCCACUCGCGGUGCAGAACGCCAUGGGUGACUCCCUUGCUGCUUGGUUUUUCAGCACUGGCAGAUGGGACCUCAUUGUUUCAAAGUUUCAGUUUGGAAAAUUCAGACAUUAAGGGUUAAUCUACAUUUUAAAGUAGUCGUCUUUGAAGGAAAUUAUGCUAUAAAUGAGAAACCUGUGUGGAGUUCUGGGUUCUUUAUGUUAGCUUUGGCAGGGCCAGGAGACUGUUUUGAUGAUAGAGACGGCAUUGGAAACCUGUAUUUUAUCUCGCAGGAAAACGAAGCAAAUUUAAAACAUUCCGCAUUUGCCUUUUGACACCCCAUAACCAAAAGAUGAACUUUAAUUUCUGGGAGGCCUCCCAGUGAUUAAUGCCUUUACGUUUAUGACGUGAGAAGAAUGAGCCGUAUGUUACAGUUGGUCUUCUGUCCGUUUCUGAAGACAGCCUGUGCCAGGAUUUUGAUGUGCACUCGCGUUCUGGCACCAGGCUGCACACUUCUCACCCAGCACAGAGCCAGCUCACAGAUCCUGUUCGGCACAGCGACUCCAGACAUACAGCAUGAAUUUGAAGGCGGCCUCCUCAAAUGUGGCAGGCACAGUCUCCCUCUUCCUAUUUGGAGCCUGUCUGUGGGGCUAGGACCUCUCUCAGCUGCCUGUAAAGCGGCCUUGGAGAGCUGCUUUUGCUAGCUACUUAUUGCGACAGUCUCUGGGAAAGGGGGGCGUGGCCCUCCAGGGCAGCUUCACAAUUGUUUUCUGUUUCCUACCUUUGCUGGUAAAAGGAAACUGUUACUUUGCUCUUUUCACAUAUGCCUUAGAAAUCAUAUGUUUCACUCUCUUGGAGGGGACAGUAUUGGAGUGAAGACCUUUGGGUCUUUCUUUAAUUCCUGCAUCUCCUGUGGGAGACGAAUGACAUUCACUAAGCCAUGUGUGGUAGCUGUGAAUGCUGUCUACCAAAGAUUUUUGGUUCUCCCCCACUUUAUGGCUCCUGUUACGAUGGUACUUCCUCUUCUGUGUGUAGCCACAUAACUUGCUUUGUUCAAUAAAUAUGGAUCAAAAGUG